AAAAUAAUUUUAAGUAAAUUGUAAAUUUAUUAGUAGAGUUUUUUCUUUAUUUUA
rnacentral:tRNA from 1 species